rnacentral:lncRNA from 1 species
CUGCUUCCCAGACCCCUUGCAGCUCCCAACGGUUCACUGCCCUGACUGCCCUACACAGCAGCUGCCUCUGCUCACCUGCAGCUUUCAGGCUUCUGCUGCACCAUGUCCCUUCUCAUCUCAAGACAUAUUUCCUCCUCCUGUUGGCUUGGCCCUGCGGCAUCUGCUGGUGGGAAGCUGUGACAGUGCCCUCCACCAGCUGGUGCUCCCCCCCGGCUGAUUUGGAGGCAGGAGGAACAGGCCUGAGAAACCAGCCCCAAAUGUGAACAUGAGAUCCAGGUCUGGAGUCCGAACAUGUCCUUGUUUCUGUGUGCCUGUUGGGUUUUGGUGUGAUCCAGUUUGAGAGAUGGGGGCCACCAAGAUACAGAGGCCUGCACUGAGAGGCAGAUCUCCACAUCUUUCCCCACCAAACCAGCGCGGCAGAGCCAGCUGCAGCUUCAGUACGGACACUACCCAUUCAGUGGAAUGCCAUGCUGAUUUCAAGAUUUUCUAACAUCUAUUCUCUACCCCACCGCUAGUUCUCUCUGCCUUCUGGUUGAUAGAUGGGCUGUUGGAUGUGGGCCCUUCCCUGCAGGAGCUCAGUUGGCACUUGCACAGGCGGCUGUCCCCAGCAGACGUCAGUCCUGGAAUGUGGCAGGGGAUCCCCUUCCAGAAGUCAAGUGUGACGCCGGAAAUGCUCGUAGCUAUUAAUACCGUCUGUAUUUUUAUGUUGAAAAAUUGGCAAGUGUAAUACUUCGAGGUGCAUUCCUACCCAAAGUGUUAUUAUGGGUAUUGGCAUGAGACCAAGUGGGUGACUUGAGUCUAGUAAAACUAACCUUGUAAAGCUAACCUUGUUCUCUCUACCUCUUUUUUCUUCUAUAAAUAUAGUCAAUAGAAUAAAUGAGGCACUGCUGUAACUUAGAAAGAAAAU